rnacentral:rRNA from 1 species
UUUUAUCUCUAAAAUUAUGGUGGCUAAAGUUGAACUGAAACUCUGGGGGCGAAAUAACAAGGUGGGGUCCGUUCCCAUAANGGUAUUGAACCCCCUACGGGGGUUGCAUAGCCUUCUGGCCCCCGCCCUUCGUUAUGUUUGUCCGGUAGCAGAACGUACUGUUAAUUGUUCAGUGAGAGCCCCACACGGCAUCAGAAGUGAUAAUGUGGACAUGAGUAAAAAAUCAUAGGAUCACUCCCCCCCUGGUUUCCCAUAUUAGGUAUGGGGUUAAACAGCCCCUAAAAUUGCAGCCCCAAAGGUUGCGUUAAUGGGGGGCCAUGAGUAAUAGACGCACAAAGUGCCAGGAAAGAAUUAUUCAAGAGCCAAAGGGGCCUUGCAGGCCUUACCUGCAAGGACCCGAUGGGGACCAUCUCUCGGCGCCGCACUGUACUAAACUAACUAAAGUGGGGGAUAGUGAGGGGAUAAAUUUCCUUAAGGAACUCGGCAAAAUCCCAAUGGCCCACCAGGGCAUUUAACUUUUGUAGCAAGGUAUCAAGGUACCUUCUACGAAGGUGGGGUCCGGUAGGACCCUACCUCCACCCUAACGGGUGGCGGUUACUUGUAUUGGAACACGGGCCUCGACUGUUUACCAAAAACAUAGCCCUCGGCCAAUAUGAAAAUAGAAGUAUGGAGGGUGAGGCCUGCCCAAUGGUUGUAUCUAAAAGCGGCUGAUGAAAGUCGAUCUCGUAAGGACAAUUGAAUGGCCGCGGUAACACUGACCGUGAUAAUGUAGCGUAAUCAAUAGCCAAUUAAUUGUUGGCCAGUAUGAAUGGCGCCACGAAGGCCCCACUGUCUUAAGGAAAUUCCCAGUGAAAUUGAAUUCGUAGUGAAGAUGCUACGUCCAAUUUGUUAGACGAAAAGACCCCGUUGAGCUUUACUGGGGCACUUACACGGCCCCGGCCUUCGAGACUAGGUUGAUAAGCCAAGGCUUCGAAGAAGUCUUCGCUUACCAUACCUAGGGACCGGCUGAAUUUAAAUGGGCGGCUUAGACUAUGUGGCAGCCCCCCCCGUCGGGGCAGAUGAAACCCCACUCCCCCAUGUCAAAGGGGCUAACCCCCCCCUUGGGGGGGACAAUGUAAGUAGGACAGUUUGGUUGGGGCGACCGCCUUUUAGAGAGUAACGAAGGUGCGCUUAAGGUGCGCAAUUAAUGACUGAAGCCUGACUGCGAGGGGGACACCCCGAGCAGACACCCCCAAGCCCGCCCGCCCAGAAGGCUAUGCCUUCUGGGAGGGCGGCGGUGGGGUGGGCCAUAGUGACCCGUUAAUUUAGAGUGGGAUAGUUAACGAUCAACGAAUAAAAGUUACCACGGGGAUAACAGCGUAAU